CCAUCUAGCUUAAUAGCUAAAACUAAUUAUAUAGGAUAUAUAUAAGCUUUUCCCAAUUUCAAAGAAUGAAAGAAUGAACGAAAGAAACAAGCGUAGGAAGAGAACGUAACAUACAUCAAAAUUCUAUCAGCUUACUUCACUUUAAACAUGGCAACCUGUAUGCAGUAUCGCGUUCAUAUCUCUGAGUGUAAAAAGAAUUGUGAUUAUAAUAUGCCUCAAUAUUUGUAGUGAAUGUUUCUAUUAAAGGUACGCAAGCAGCAGCGUCGCAACAGAGUAUCUCCGCAGCACAUAAACUAUCUAAGAGUUGUUAAGUUUAACUCUCUUUGCAGCUUUUGGAGCGAACGUUAGCGUUGUCAAGCUCUGCUGGUUUUUCAAAGAAAUAGCUUACGCAGUUUCUUUUUCGCUCGUUCUCUUUCUACCACCUCUCUAACUAACACACUGGCUCUCUCUCUCUCUCUCUCUCUCUUUCUCUCUCUGCAUCUUUAUUGCGCUGACAAGCGUUGGCUGCUGAAAUAUCUGCACAUUUUGUAUUUUAUAAAAUUAGUACUCUUUUUGUACUUGAAUUGAAAAGGUAAAAGAUCGGGUAAAUAGUGCAGUUGUAGAAACACAUAUAUAGAAAACGUUAGCAAAAAAAAGUGUAUCUGAAAUAAAUAUAAAUAAAUCUGUAUGUGUUUGUAUGUAAAUACACAUAUAAGGCAAGAGAGAGAAAGAGAGAUCAUUUGUAAUACACAACAACGAAAUCGAGGGAUUAAGCAACAACAACAACUAAUACAAUUGCAAUUAAAACAAGAUAGAAGGAAAGAAAAGAAGAAAUUGAAACGACGGAUACGGCGAGACGAGAAGAGAAGAAGAAUUCAAUACAAACUUCAAGUGGAAAAACUUAUUUGUAAUAUCUUUUGUGAUUGUGUGCGUGAUUGCGUAUGUAUAUGCUGCUGCGUGUUGUUGUUAAACGACAGACAAAAGAAAGUUUACAAAAACCACAAUAAUAGCAACAUCAAGAACAACAACAACAACAAUAACAACAACAACAAGAAUAAUAACAGCUCCAAUUGGAUAUACAAUUAUUUUCUGCAUUAUUAUUACCUACGCUUCGCAGAUGGCUAGGUGUGUGUGAGAAUUCUUUUCGUAAAUUUUCAAAUUAAUUAAAUGAUUUGCUUGCAUUUCCGUUUCGCGUGUUUAACGAUAGCUUACAAGAAAAAGAAAAAACAACAAAUUUCAAGUAAAGAAAGAAAAGAACGAAAUAUGUGUUAAAAAUUCCGUAAUUAAAAUAUGUAGGAAACAAAAAAAAAAAAAGAGUAGAGAUCCCUUAAAUAGAGAAAUUACUGUAGCAAAAAACAUUAGUGAAAGUGUACAAAAAAAAUUUUCUUUUGUUAAUAAAAUUCAAGGUAAUUGUAAAUUUUGUUGUAAGUUUGAAAAGAAAAUUUAUGGGGGAAAAAAAAAAAACUUUAAUUUUCGCAAACAAGCACAAGAAACUUGUUUGUAAAAUAAUUUUAAUGUAUACAUAUGUUCAUGUGUGUGUUUGUGUGUGUGUGUGUGUAUGUUAGCAUGAUGAUGGCAACAAAUUGUUGCCUAACAGGUCUGCUGCAAUUGAAGUAACCUCAGCUAUUUCUUUUUUCGUUUUACAACACAUUCUGUAAGGCUCCCAUUUAUAUACACUCAACCUCCUUCAAACUCCCUCCCUCCCAACAACAAUCUCAUUACAUGCAAUCGCAAGUCAUGUUUUUUGUUUUUUUGUUGUUUUUUUUUCCUUUUUGUAAUUUCUCUUGUAUUCUUACUUGACUUACGUCUUCUCUGUGAAAAUAUUCUUAUAAGUUGCCUCCAUCUCUAUGAGCAAAAAUUUCCUAAGCAUGUGUUUCAAUUUGUUUACUUUUCUUCUCUCAGUUAGAUAGAUAGAGAGAGAGAGAGAAAGAUAGGUUUUAGUGUUUUCUAAGCUCAGCGCAUAUUCAAUAAUGUGGAUAUUGUUUAUCAUUGUUUAUAGAUUUUCAACCCAAUAAGAUACCCAUAGAAUAGAAUAACUCAACUUAACUCAUAGCUUAUAAAAUCCAUGAGAGAAUAACAGUUGAAUAGAAUCCAAAAGUAUAAAAUAAAGAGUUAUUUGUUACUUACAUAUACAUAUACAUAUAUAUAUAUAGAGCAUUUAGAGCGAAGAGAGGAUUUUCUUUUCAAAAUCCCAACCACCCACUAUCAAAAUAAAUAUUAUAAACCUAAGUGAAUUGUUGGCUGUGUGCUGUAUGGUUAGGUUUGUGUGACUUGCGUUUUAACGUGAACGACGACGAACAAGAAUCAAAUGACGCUUAAACUUUGUUUUCUUUUUGCCGUAAUUGACAUUCGUUUGUGCGGCGUCAACUAAAACUCAUCAUCCACACUUAGAGCGGCGGGCAAGACAUAUUAACAAUAAAAAAAGGCAGCAAUAAAUCCAAGUGUUAUCCAAAAAAAAAAAAAAAAAAAAUAGAAAAGAAAAGAAAAGAAAAAAUAACAAGAAAAGUGUAUUUCAGUAAUUUAUCUAUUCAUUCUCUUAUUAAUAUAUAAUCCAUGUAUACGUUUAUAUAUAGAUAUAUAUGUAUAUAUAAAUAUAUAUGUAAAAGUCACUCCACUGAAUUGAAACUGAAAUAGAUAAACUUUAGAAUCGAAAACUUGUUAAAAGUUAUCUCUCGCAUCAGCUUAGCAUUGAAAAAAUUAUCAGACAAGUGUGUUUUACGAACAGAGUCAAUACAAUUUUGUUGUAAAUGGCGAUAAUCCUCACGUAAAACGUGUUUUAUUUCAUUUUUGAUUGAAGCAAACAAGAAAAAAAAAAAAGGCAAGAAAGCGAGUUAUUUGUCGACGUAGCCAAACCAUGUCCAUGUCCGUGCAAAUCUAUGAAAAAGAAAAGUGAAAAAGCAAAAAAAAAAAAGAAAUCUUGAAAUAAUUUUAUGAAAAGUUCCUCGCACGAAAAUUUACAAUUGUUGUGUUUGUGCAUAAGUGUGUAUAACUGAUUUUGACAUAUAUAAAGCAUUGGAGAGAGCAAAAAAGAAAACUAAUGAAAUUUCGCAAUAGCAACAGCAACAGCAGUAUAUGUAUGAAAGGAAACUCUAAAGAGCAACAAAAAAAA